AAAAUAGGUUAAAAAUUCAAGCAUUUUUCUAUUUUUCUCUUCAGGAAGAUGAAGGAGGGCAGCAUGACAAUGGCCUGCACCUCACACCCACUGCUCAGAUACACAAUGGGGCUGGGAGGCUUUUCUAAAAACCACUCUGGUCCUGCAUUGAAAUUCUGUCCAGCUGCCUUGGAACGAGAUACAAAGGUGGAUAAAGAAAUCUGGAUCACACAGAUAAGCUGCUCAAGUGAGGACCAGGCACAAUGGAGUGGAAAGCAGGGAUGUUAUGUCCCACAGCCAGCAGUAAAUGCCACCAUGAUUGCAAUGAGCCUGGUGAGGUGUGAAAUGAAGAUUAAUCCUUCCCCAGGCCAAGAACUGCCCCUGCCUGAGACACCUGGAGCUCCACACUGCAUUUCCAGGUGUGCUGUGACUUACCUGGUGCUGCUGUGGGAUAUUCAUUGGAAUAUUCAUUGGGAUAUUCAGUGCUGCUUUUUGGACAAACUUCCUGAUACAGUGUUUAUUAGAACCAGUAUUUGCGAGAAGAAACCUGGCUGUGCUCAUUUCUUGCUGAGGUUUCUCUUCCUGCCCUUGUCUCCAGCUCCAGUCCCUCUCUGCAGAGACCUGCCUGACUGCACGGCUGGGAAACAGCCCCAGGUAUUUGAUCUCUGUUUUAUCUCCUGGUCCUGCUCUGAACACUGA
rnacentral:lncRNA from 1 species